CGGGCUGUGGCUCUGCCUGAUUGAGCGCUUCGUUUGGAACGAUGUGGUCGUGGGUUGGAAUCCCGCCAGCCCGA
rnacentral:tRNA from 1 species